rnacentral:rRNA from 1 species
GACGAACGCUGGCGGCGUGCUUAACACAUGCAAGUCGAGCGGUAAGGCCCUUCGGGGUACACGAGCGGCGAACGGGUGAGUAACACGUGAGCAAUCUGCCCUCCACAUCGGGAUAACCCCCGGAAACGGGAGCUAAUACCGGAUACGACCACUUCAGGCAUCUGAUGGUGGUGGAAAGUUCUGGCGGUGGAGGAUGAGCUCGCGGCCUAUCAGCUUGUUGGUGGGGUAAUGGCCCACCAAGGCUUCGACGGGUAGCCGGCCUGAGAGGGUGACCGGCCACACUGGGACUGAGACACGGCCCAGACUCUACGGGAGGCAGCAGUGGGGAAUAUUGGACAAUGGGCGAAAGCCUGAUCCAGCAACGCCGCGUGA